rnacentral:lncRNA from 1 species
CAACGGGCUGCAAGCGUUCCUCGCUUCCCCCGUUGUCGCUGCAGGACGGCCGCGCUGUGCCCGAUGCUGCCGUGAGCCGGGCAAGGCAGAGCGUGGGUAAUAGGACGGAGAGAUACGUGGAUAAUAGGGACGGAAAUUAGUUUAGGAGAGGUGGAGAGGCUGCGGCAGAACCCCGCAGUUCAGCCGAAGCGCCGCGAAAUCCCGGUCCCCAAUUGCGGUUUGCAAACGGGUUUCGAGUUUGUUCCUCGCCGAUUUGCGUCUCAAAAAGCAUUUCGCGAAUACUUGGAAAGUUCUUGAAAAGAGGAACGCGCUUCGUUCGACUCUCCCCACCGAAAGGCACGGGCGUCGUUCAGCGCUGCUCUGUGCGCUCGGGGGUCGCGGGUCGCCCCGGGGCUGCCGGGACGGACUCAGAGCGGGGCUCAGCGCCGGCGGAGCGGGCAGAGCCUCAGGGAGAGGAAGGCAGCGGCAGAGCGGGGAAGGCGGCGAGAAAACAUUUUAUUGUUCCGAGGUAUGACUAAUUCUUUCCCGAAGCUGGGAAAUUCGGCCCGAUUAGAAGCCUCAUUUGUUGCCCGAUAAGCGAAUGUGCGCUGAUCGCACCUCCCGAAGCGGCUUUUGGGGCUGAGCUGGCUUCUAGAGGCCCCUUUGCGCUGUAUGUUCAGCCGUACCCCCCUUUUAUUUUUAAUUGGUAUUAUUUUAGGGGGGGUUGCUUUCGACGGAGAGAGGGGCGGCGGGUUCUGCAAGCCCCCAGGUCCGAGUUUAGCUCCAAAGAAGGCCGUCGGAACUAAGAAGGGGCUGCUGCCGCCCGUCCCACGAAGCGGCGGUGCGCGCAGCCCGUGAGCAGCGGCCCGGAGCGGGUGCGCGGCGCAGCCCUCCCGCUGGGAACUGUUUGCCGAUUGUAAAAACCCUUAUCCGCAAUGAGGUUUGGGCAAACAAUUUGCGCGGCGGUAAUUACGUUGUAAAAGUGUCGGAGCGCGCCGAAUGACUCCUAGAAAGGCCUGAAACGGGUCAAGACCAGAAGGGCUCUCCUCUCUUUCCUUUUUAUUUCUCAUUCUUUUUGAUUUUCAUUUCUUUUUUCAUUUCAUUUUUGA